rnacentral:lncRNA from 1 species
CCCUAAGUACAAAUCCCAACUCAUUUAACCACAUUGUGCCUCAUUUCCUGUCAUAUAAAAUCAAAAAGAUAAGACAUCAAAGGAGGGUUGGGAGGAUUUAACUUUUAACAUAUAUAAAAGAAUGCCUGCAAUCAGUAAUCAACUAUUUAGUAUCAUUACUCCAGAAUGAAGAAAAUCUACCUUCCUUUCUAAGAUCUUUAUAUUAAGUCUAUGUCAAAAAGUCAUAAAAUUGAGAGGAAACUACAGACCUUCAUAUUUAGAAGACCUUUUAUUGAGCUUCCUACCCUCUCAUUGUAAUGACAACCACUACAAGACAGCUUUUAAAUGCUUAAGGCACCCAUAGACUUCAAGAGAAGUCUCAUACAUUAAAAAAAAAGUUUCAGGAGUAAACCUUUUCAUCAGGCCUUUUUUUCCCCAUUGAGCCUCCUAAAACAAGAUCAUGAAAUUCUCAACUUCAAAGCGUUCAAUUCCUCUGAACCCACUUCACCUGAAAAAGUCAAUUAUCUCAGUUGGAGUGGGCCUCACUAUAUUAACACCGCCUUUAUAAGCAGAAGGAGCCAUGCACUGGGCCUAAAAGAUAGGAAAACUUGAGGGUUUCACCUAUUGUUAUCCAUACUAAAGGUUUUUAAAAAAUUAAUAAUUGGGAUAAAUACAAGUACUAAAUGUUCAAAUUUUGCAGUUUUAAGACACUUGCUAAAAUUGUAUUACUUAACUUGUUAAAAAAAACAGUCAAUUAAAUUAGGAGCAAUUUUACAGCAAAUUUUAGAACACUUGGCUCAACAAUAGCAGGAAACACACAAAAAUGGUCUUUAUUGGAAUAUCAGUUCAUUUUUUUUAAAGUCACUUUAACGUGUGUGUACCUAAACAAACAUAUACUUUUCUAACUAAAUGUCUGUACUCUAACAAAGAUAAAGGAUAAACAUGCAUUUCAUUGAUGUUUUCAGUCUUCAAAGAAUGGUCUUGUAUGCUGUUCACUACAUAUUAACAAUAGUUAAUUCAAAAAUUCAGCUUCAGAGGAGGAAAACAAAAUUCAGCCUCAGGAUUCAAAGGAUCAUUUGAAAAAACACAAGUCCAAGGAUGGGUAUUCAUAAAAUUAAGGGUUGAGCUAAAACAUCUGAAAUUUAUCUUUAAGAAAAUGAAAUUAUACUAUCUAUAAUUUCACACAUGAAAUUAUACUAUCUACACACUUACACGCUAUAUUAUAUAUACUUUAUACUUUAAAAUAUGUGAUCAUAGACUUGGGUAAAAUAGUAGGGGGUUCCUCUCUCCAAAAUACAUUAGUAUCAAUGAUAUUCUCCUCAUCAUAGUAUUAAAAAAAAAAAAAAAACUUUGGAAAGAAAAAUACUAAAAUACGAAAUCCUGAAGAAAACAAAAGUAUUAGAAACCGGAGUUCCCCUCGUGGCGCAGUGGUUAAUGAAUCUGACUAGGAACCAUGAGGUUGUGGGUUCUAUCCCUGGCCUUGCUCAGUGGGUUAAGGAUCUGGCGUUGCCGUGAGCUAUGGUGUAGGUCACAGAUGCGGCUUGGAUCUGGUGUUGCUAUGGUUGUGGUAUAGGCCGGUGGCUACAAAACAGCUCCAAUUCAACCCCUAGCCGGGAAACCUCCAUAUGCCUCGGAUGCGGCCGUAAAAAGACAAAAUAAUAAUAAUAAAGGUAGAGAGCUAAAGGCAAAUUUUGUGGACUGUGGUCUGAUUCCUAUUAAUAAAAAGCUAGCUCAGCUUACCUGUAUCCAGACAUGAAAAGUUAAGUUUUUCAUGCAACAAUUUCUGGAUAACUCAUCUCAGAAAAUACUGGACCUGAAAUAUCCAGACGAAAUUUUUUUUUUUUUUCUUUUUGGCCACACCUGGGGCAUAGGAGAAGUUCCCUGGCCAGGGGUUGAUUACAAGCCACAGCUGUGACCCACACCACAGCUAUAGGCAAUACCAGAACCUUAACUCAGCCCAGGGAUAGAACCUGUGCCACCAGAGACAAUGCUGGAUCCUUAACAUACUCUUUCAUUUUACUUUUGUUGGCUACAGAAAGUGUAAAUGGUUAUUUUAUGCUCUUCUAAGUAUUUCUAAGUCUCCAUCCCCCUCAAAAAUUUUCCACUGAUUAAACAGAUUCUGCUUACAAGGAAGUAUGCCACGCAACUUCGAUCUGGAGUGGGCUGACUUGGAGUUAAAUCCCAACAUGAUCCUGACGGUUUUAGAAUUAUUAUCAUUUAACAUUAAAAGUAACAAGGAGCCUUCUCUAGACCACAAAAUUUAACUUCCAACCUAACAAAAGGCUUAUGUAAACAUUUUACCAUGAUAUGUGUACUAUUGAUUACUAAUGCAAAUAUAGAGGUGGAUACUGUAAAUAUAAAAUAAUUUUGAACUAUUCCUGGGAGUCCUAAAAAACCAAAACCUGCAUGAAUAUACAUCAUUUUUGUACAGCUACAUGAAAUUUCAAAUUAAAGUUCCUGUACAACAUUUAUUUCAUUGUUUUCUGGGACCAUUAACAUAGACCACAAUUUUCUGUAUACAUUUUCUCAGUGUUCUCAUUGUUAACCUGGUACACAUCAGGCCAAUCUUUCAGUGCUUUCUAAAGUUUAUUGAAUGAAACCCUAAGCUCACGCUUAGGGUUUUUAGUCUUAGGGCUAAUACAAAUUGUGAUUCUCCAAAAUGAGCGGCAAGCAACACACUGAGUACGUGGACACAGAAGUGUCCUAGACAGCUGACCAAAUUUGUAUUUGCUGUAGCGUCCUUGAUUAAAUAAGACUGUGGCCUUUUCUGUUUCAUGACCAUAGACUAUACUAUUUUCCAGCCACUUUUCUUACAAAAGCAUACAACAGGUCACAAGGAGGAUUUCAGAGAUCAACACAAAGUAAUUGCCACUACAGGAAAAACAACAGCCUGCAUUCUAAAGCUGAUACAUUAUGAUGCUAUAUUUUGCAUAAAAAUAUAGCAUAGGCUUAUAAUAUUUUUAUGUCCUUUAAUACUGAAAUUGUACAUGUCACUUUCUAAACCUCAUAUAUAGGAAAGCACAUAAAGGUGUACAAUUCCGUUUUUUUUUUUUCCUUAGUAAAAACAAGUUCAUGGAUAAAGUUUCCUUAGCCAGACAGUAUUUAAUUCUAAAAAUCCCUGCACUAUCUUAUAGACCCAAAAACAAAACACAAAAUACAAAAGCGGUAAAAGCCUUAUAACCAUCACCACAGACGAAGGGAGCAGAGAGAGUCAGAAAAAUAUACAAAGCACUGCAAGGCUAGAUGUGGCAGACGCUAGAAGAGAGCGGGGGAGGGUUUCAUGAGGUUCUAGGCAAGCCCCGUGAUGACGACACCUCACAUACAUAAUGUUACAGCAGUCAGCACAGGCCUCCUGCUUUCCUAUUGGUGAACACUGUGUCAGCCGACAUCAGAAGAUAAUCAUCAUUGGCCAGCCAAUUACAACUGGAGCAACUAGCAUCCACCACUGCUAGCACAGACCUGGCAGGCUGCUGAAAGAGAAGGCAGAGCCCAGCUGCCCUUCUCACUCAAUGAAUGUAUGUCACCUUACCAAUCACUAGGCAGUUUUGCUCCCUUGCAAGCGGCCCUUAUAAAUUAAGUCAGCUAUUAGUGAAAAUAACAGGUAAAGGCCAGACAUCUCAUAAAAGAACAAAAUGCCUCUAUUUUCAAUGCUGUAAAAUCACAAGAGCUUUUCAGUAUAAAAAUCAGAACUCAAAAAUACUAUUGAGCUAAAAGCAGACAUUUUCCUCUACCUCAUGCAAUACAAUCUCAUUUACCAGAUAAUAUUACCCACAAUAUUUUUAACUUGACAUACAGUUUCAAGAUGAUUCUUCAAGGCAUAAUAUUUUUGGUUUGCAUUUCCAUAGCUUUUCUAAUCUAUAUAUGUGAAACUGUUAGAGAAGUAAAAUUACCCAGUGUCUAGAACAAUGAAUAUAGGGUUAAUCAUUCUUUUUUUUUUUUUUUUUUUUGGUCUUUUUGCCAUUUCUUGGGCCGCUCCCGCAGCAUAUGGAGGUUCCCGAAGGCUAGGAACUGUAUCGGAGCUGUAGCUGCCAGCCUACGCCAGAGCCACAGCAACACAGGAUC